rnacentral:rRNA from 1 species
UACAGAGGUCUCAAGCGUUGUUCGGAUUCAUUGGGCGUAAAGGGUGCGUAGGCGGCGCGGUAAGUCGGGUGUGAAAUCUCGGAGCUUAACUCCGAAACUGCAUUCGAUACUGCCGUGCUUGAGGACUGGAGAGGAGACUGGAAUUUACGAUGUAGCGGUGAAAUGCGCAGAUAUCAGGAGGAACACCGGUGGCGAAGGCGGGUCUCUGGGCCGAUACUGACGCUGAGGAGCGAAAGCGUGGGGAGCGAACAGG